rnacentral:rRNA from 1 species
ACAAGGAUUCCCCUAGUAGCGGCGAGCGAAGCGGGAAGAGCUCAAAUUUAUAAUCUGGCACCUUCGGUGUCCGAGUUGUAAUCUCUAGAAAUGUUUUCCGCGUUGGACCGCACACAAGUCUGUUGGAAUACAGCGGCAUAGUGGUGAGACCCCCGUAUAUGGUGCGGACGCCCAGCGCUUUGUGAUACAUUUUCGAAGAGUCGAGUUGUUUGGGAAUGCAGCUCAAAUUGGGUGGUAAAUUCCAUCUAAAGCUAAAUAUUGGCGAGAGACCGAUAGCGAACAAGUACCGUGAGGGAAAGAUGAAAAGCACUUUGGAAAGAGAGUUAACAGUACGUGAAAUUGUUGGAAGGGAAACGCUUGAAGUCAGACUUGCUUGCCGAGCAAUCGGUUUGCAGGCCAGCAUCAGUUUUCCGGGAUGGAUAAUGGUAGAGAGAAGGUAGCAGUUUCGGCUGUGUUAUAGCUCUCUGCUGGAUACAUCUUGGGGGACUGAGGAACGCAGUGUGCCUUUGGCGGGGGUUUCGACCUCUUCACACUUAGGAUGCUGGUGGAAUGGCUUUAAACGAC